ensembl:lncRNA
GUCAGCAUCUGAGAGAAUCAACACUAAGGAACUGAGCUUACUUACUGAGAUACAGGGGUCAUGUUCUUUCCUGACUAGCCUGGCUGCUGAUAGGGCUGUAGCGGCUGGUAAUGAGGAAUGACCCUUCCAUCCCACAAAACAUCAACUUUUGUUUUAGGAUAAAGUUUUUUUUUUUUUUAUAAAUGUGCACCAAUACAUUUGACAUAAAUGUUCUGUACAUUUUUACUCAUGUGAGCUACCCGGUUUCCCCAAUUUUUCUCCACUAGCAAACACGGAGAACAAUCACUCCAGAUCAUGAUACCAGCACCUACCCUCCUAACUGCCUUCUGGGUUGUUUCUCAAAGGUGAGAAAACGGCAAGGGCCCCCGACAUCCUGCAAGACUGCUAGAGUUUCCGGUGUCUAGUGCCGCUUGUUCAGAACGACAGAACCCUCUCCAGAGACCCAAGGCUGACCCCAGACUCUGUCCAGAGCCCAUUUCUGAGGGUCCACGUGAACAUUUCAGCUUUACAUGAAUGCUCAUCGGAGAUGCAAAUUUCCUCUCAUAUUGGAGAUGGCCAUGGAGUCUUACUUGCGCAGCAUCCUUCCGCGGUUUCUAAAGAGAAAACAAAACAACAACAAAAACCAUGCGUGGGACUCCUACUACUGCAUCUGAGCCUUUCGGAUGCUUCUGCUCAAAAAGUCCAGUCCAGAAACCCAUGAGUGUGGUGGGGUGGUGAUCUGUGAUUUGCAUCUUCCCGCAUCACUUGUGCUGUUUUCGAAGAGUUGUGCAGAUCCUAGAUAUAUCAGAUGGAGAAUUGAAGAGGUGGCCCUGUCAUCCUACAGGAAGACCCACGGUGAAACCGACAAGACAACAUUCUACUUUAUUGAGCUAAUUAUUUGGGAACUGUUCCUGUUUCAGACCAUCCUCAGACAUGCCAACUGGGGCUGCUGGUACAAUAGCCAGAAGAUCAAUCACUUUGAAGGACUUUUAAGUCCUCACCACAUCAUCAGAUUGAGAAUUUGUAAUGCACGGGAAAAUGAGUCGGAAAAGUAGUUUGACAGAUCAGGUGUGACCAAAUUAGCAAAUAGGUGUCUGGAAAGUAGCAACCUGCUCAUUGCAGAAGACUCACCUAGAACACAUGUAUUCAAACUGGUCUCAGAUCCUAAUUGCAUCCGUAAAAGAAUACAGUCUCCAGCAUGAAUACGCUGUUCUGUGCUUGUCACGAAUACGGUGCUUGAUCCCUAUUACCCUGCUGAUGUAGAAAGAAGGGAAAGUUACCAAGGAUGAGCUAUGAAUCAUUCUCCUGUGAUUUCUGAUCUUCAGUGUCAACUUGACUAGAUUUAGAAUCACCCAGGAUAUGAUAAGGCACAUCUCUGGGUGGAUCUGUGUUUUCAGAAAGA